rnacentral:rRNA from 1 species
GCGGCAGGCUUACACAUGCAAGUCGAGGGGUAACGACUCCGUCUUCGGAUGGAGGUCGACGACCGGCGCACGGGUGAGUAACGCGUAUGCAACCUACCUUUUACAGGAGGAUAGCCCAGAGAAAUUUGGAUUAAUACUCCAUAGUACUAAUGAAUCACCUGGUUUAUUAGUUAAAACUCCGGUGGUAAAAGAUGGGCAUGCGUGUCAUUAGCUAGUUGGUAAGGUAACGGCUUACCAAGGCGAAGAUGACUAGGGGUUCUGAGAGGAAGAUCCCCCACACUGGUACUGAGACACGGACCAGACUCCUACGGGAGGCAGCAGUGAGGAAUAUUGGUCAAUGGGUGAGAGCCUGAACCAGCCAUGCCGCGUGAAGGAAGACUGCCCUAUGGGUUGUAAACUUCUUUUCUGCAGGAAGAAAUCACUCCACGUGUAGGGUGUUGCCGGUACUGCAGGAAUAAGCAUCGGCUAACUCCGUGCCAGCAGCCGCGGUAAUACGGAGGAUGCAAGCGUUAUCCGGAUUUAUUGGGUUUAAAGGGUGCGUAGGCGGGCUUGUAAGUCAGUGGUGAAAUGCUGUGGCUUAACCAUAGAAUUGCCAUUGAAACUGCAAGUCUUGAGUACAGUUGAGGUGGGCGGAAUGAGUAAUGUAGCGGUGAAAUGCAUAGAUAUUACUCAGAACUCCGAUUGCGUAGGCAGCUUGCUAAACUGUAACUGACGCUGAUGCACGAAAGCGUGGGGAGCGAACAGGAUUAGAUACCCUGGUAGUCCACGCUGUGAACGAUGAGCACUGGUUGUUGGCAAUACACCGUCAGCGACUGAGCGAAAGUAUUAAGUGCUCCACCUGGGGAGUACGUCGGCAACGAUGAACUCAAAGGACUUGACGGGGGCCCGCACAAGCGGAGGAACAUGUGGUUUAAUUCGAUGAUACGCGAGGAACCUUACCUGGGCUUAAAUGUAGAGUGCAUUGCUUGGAAACAGGCAUUUUCUUCGGAACUCUUUACAAGGUGCUGCAUGGUUGUCGUCAGCUCGUGCCGUGAGGUGUCGGGUUAAGUCCCAUAACGAGCGCAACCCCUAUUGUUAGUUACCAGCACGUAAUGGUGGGGACUCUAGCAAGACUGCCGGUGUAAACCGUGAGGAAGGUGGGGAUGACGUCAAAUCAGCACGGCCCUUAUGUCCAGGGCUACACACGUGUUACAAUGGCAAGUACAAAGAGCAGCCACCUGGCGACAGGGCGCUAAUCUCAAAAGCUUGCCUCAGUUCGGAUCGAAGUCUGCAACUCGACUUCGUGAAGGUGGAUUCGCUAGUAAUCGCGCAUCAGCCAUGGCGCGGUGAUACGUUCCCGGGCCUUGUACACACCGCCCGUCAAGCCAUGGAAGCCGGGGUACCUGAAGUC